CUGAAGAUGCUAAGACGAACCCUAAAAAUCCUUCGAACA
rnacentral:tRNA from 1 species